ACAGGCUUCCCCAAACUCUGGCCCUCCAGAUGUUGCCGAACUACAACUCCCAUGAUUCUUUGAAUGAAAUAGAUAGGCUGAGAAUCAUAGGAGUUGUAGUUUAGCAACAUCUGGAGGGCUGGAGUUUGGGAAAGCCUGC